UAAGGAGCUGCUUGGGGAGGAUAAUGCACAUAUCAGCAUCUCAGAAGGCAACUCUUCUGAGAGAAUCAUUGUUCUGGCCAGAUCUAUUAAUGCCAUCUGUAAAGCAUUUGCUGUGAUCAUUAAAAAUCUGGGAGAGGACAUCAGCCACUCUGCAACCAGUGGGACAAUUGAUCCCCAGGCAGCCUGUGGCCCAAAUGGGUACUGGCACAUUGGUGUUCCUAUGAACUCGCUUUUUACAAAAUAUUUAUCCUUUAUAACCAGUGUGGCUGUUUCUUUGGGAAAGGCAGGUACAAGAUCAAGGAAAUAGGAGAGAGCACAAAGCUCAGGACCAGGUGGCAGGGCAGGCUGGAAGAAACUCAGGCAGGCCAUCACUAUUACAUCACCUAUCAUUGAUUAUGUGGACCAGACUUCAUGGCCGUGUUGGAAACUCUCUUUGGUCCCUGUGGCAGGCAUGAUUAUCCAGGAUCAACCCCAGUUUUCCGGCUCUCUGGUCAACUUUGCCGGUGUCAGGAUGGACGCAGCUCAAGCAACAAGGCAUGCUUUUCCCACAUCAUCCAGGAGACACCAACCAUGUGUCUCAACUCUGACCUGGAGAGGCCGCCUCUGGGGUUUACUAAGCUGCACCAGAUGGAAAUGCAAAAGUCUUAUUUCUCUAUAUUAUGUAAUGAUACCAGAUUCCAUGACACUUAAUUCAGCUCUCCAGACAUGAAAAUCUCUUGGGCCUAGUUGAGCACCUUUGCAUUCAAGUUCCCUUGAACUCACUUUUUCUAAAAUAUCUAGUUGGGUGCGUGACCAGAAGUCAUCAAAAUUCAAUGGGAUCUGUCAAAUAUCUGAGACACAACUUAAAAUCAGAUCUGCUGGCAACGUUAGCUUUUCCUGUAGAGGGUAC
rnacentral:lncRNA from 1 species